AGUUCGAUUCUGGCUCAGAUUGAACGCUGGCGGGAUGCUUUACACAUGCAAGUCGAACGGCAGCACGGACUUCGGUCUGGUGGCGAGUGGCGAACGGGUGAGUAAUGUAUCGGAACGUGCCUAGUAGCGGGGAUAACACGCGAAAGCGUAGCUAAUACCGCAUACGCCCUUCGGGGAAAGCGGGGACCUUCGGGCCUCGCACUAUUGAAGCGGCCGAUAUCGGAUUAGCUAGUUGGUGGGGGAUAACGGCUCACCAAGGCGACGAUCCGUAGCUGGUUUUGAGAGGACGACCAGCCACACUGGGACUGAGACACGGCCCGGGCUCUACGGGAGGCAGCAGUGGGGAAUUUUGGACAAUGGGGAAACCUGAUCCAGCCAUCCCGCGUGUGCGAUGAAGGCCUUCGGGUUGUAAAGCACUUUUGGCAGGAAGAAACGUGCGGAUAAUACCCCGUGCAACUGACGGGCUACCUGCAGAAUAAGCACCGGCUAACUACAUUGCCAGCAGCCGCGGUAAUACGUAGGGUGCAAGCGUUAAUCAGGUCUGGGCGUAAAGCGUGCGCGACGGUUCGGAAGAAAGAUGUGAAAUCCCAGAGCUUAACUUUGGAGCUGCAUUUUUAACUACCGAGCUAGAGUGUGUCAGAGGAGGUGGAAUUCCGCGUGUAGCAGUGAAAUGCGUAGAUAUGCGGAGGAACACCGAUGGCGAAGACGGCCUCGCAGGAUAACACUGACGCUCAUGCACGAAAAGCGUGGGAGCAAACGGGAUUAGAUACCCUGGUAGUCCACGCCCUAAACGAUGUCAACUAGCUGUUUGAGGCCUUCGGGCCUUGGUAGCGCAGCUAACGCAUUGAAGUUGACCGCCUGGGGAGUACGGUCGCAAGAUUAAAACUCAAAGGAAUUGACGGGGACCCGCACAAGCGGUGGAUGAUGUGGAUUAAUUCGAUGCAACGCGAAAACCUUACCUACCCUUGACAUGUCUGGAAUCCCGAAGAGAUUUAGGGUGCUCGCAAGAGAACCGGAACACAGGUGCUGCAUGGCUGUCGUCAGCUCGUGUCGUGAGAUGUUGGGUUAAGUCCCGCAACAGGCUGGCCCUUGCCAUUAGUUGCUACGAAAGGGCACUCCUAAUGAGACUGCCGGUGACAAACCGGAGGAAGGUGGGGAUGACGUCAAGUCCUCAUGGCCCUUAUGGGUAGGGCUUCACACGUCACAAUGGUCGGGACAGAGGUCGCCAACCCGCGAGGGGAGCCAAUCCCGAAACCCGAUCGUAGUCCGGAUCGCAGUCUGCAACUCGGCCACGUGAAGUCGGAAUCGCUAGUAAUCGCGGAUCAGCAUGUCGCGGUGAAUACGUUCCCGGGUCUUGUACACCGCCCGUCACACCAUGGGAGUGGGUUUUACCAGAAGUAGUUAGCCUAACCGUAAGGAGGGCGGUACACGGUAGGAUUCAUGACUGAGGUGAUCGUAACCUAAAGCCAG
rnacentral:rRNA from 1 species